AGAGUUUGAUCCUGGCUCAGGAUGAUUUCUAGCUACAGGCUUAACACAUGCAAGUCGAGGGGCAGCAUCAUCAAAGCUUGCUUUGAUGGAUGGCGACCGGCGCACGGGUGAGUAACACGUAUCCAACCUGCCGACAACACUGGGAUAGCCUUUCGAAAGAAAGAUUAAUACCGGAUGGCAUAGUUUUCCCGCAUGGGAUGACUAUUAAAGAAUUUCGGUUGUCGAUGGGGAUGCGUUCCAUUAGGCAGUUGGCGGGGUAACGGCCCACCAAACCUACGAUGGAUAGGGGUUCUGAGAGGAAGGUCCCCCACAUUGGAACUGAGACACGGUCCAAACUCCUACGGGAGGCAGCAGUGAGGAAUAUUGGUCAAUGGACGAGAGUCUGAACCAGCCAAGUAGCGUGAAGGAUGACUGCCCUAUGGGUUGUAAACUUCUUUUAUACGGGAAUAAAGUUAGCCACGUGUGGCUUUUUGUAUGUACCGUAUGAAUAAGGAUCGGCUAACUCCGUGCCAGCAGCCGCGGUAAUACGGAGGAUCCGAGCGUUAUCCGGAUUUAUUGGGUUUAAAGGGAGCGUAGGCGGGUUGUUAAGUCAGUUGUGAAAGUUUGCGGCUCAACCGUAAAAUUGCAGUUGAUACUGGCGACCUUGAGUGCAACAGAGGUAGGCGGAAUUCGUGGUGUAGCGGUGAAAUGCUUAGAUAUCACGAAGAACUCCGAUUGCGAAGGCAGCUUACUGGAUUGUAACUGACGCUGAUGCUCGAAAGUGUGGGUAUCAAACAGGAUUAGAUACCCUGGUAGUCCACACAGUAAACGAUGAAUCCUUGCUGUUGGGGAUUAUACGGUCAGCGGCCAAGCGAAAGCAUUAAGUAUUCCACCUGGGGAGUACGCCGGCAACGGUGAAAUUCAAAGGAAUUGACGGGGGCCCGCACAAGCGGAGGAACAAUGUGGUUUAAUUCGAUGAUACGCGAGGAACCUUACCCGGGCUUAAAUUGCAACUGACGGAAUCGGAAACGGUUCUUUCUUCGGACAGUUGUGAAGGUGCUGCAUGGUUGUCGUCAGCUCGUGCCGUGAGGUGUCGGCUUAAGUGCCAUAACGAGCGCAACCCUUACGGGUAGUUACCAUCAGGUUAUGCUGGGGACUCUACCCGGACUGCCGUCGUAAGAUGUGAGGAAGGUGGGGAUGACGUCAAAUCAGCACGGCCCUUACGUCCGGGGCUACACACGUGUUACAAUGGGGGGUACAGAAGGCAGCUACACGGCGACGUGGUGCUAAUCCCGAAAGCCUCUCUCAGUUCGGAUUGGAGUCUGCAACCCGACUCCAUGAAGCUGGAUUCGCUAGUAAUCGCGCAUCAGCCACGGCGCGGUGAAUACGUUCCCGGGCCUUGUACUCACCGCCCGUCA
rnacentral:rRNA from 1 species